CAACAGUCAUUUCGGCAGUUGUAAUCUCUACUUAGCCUAGCAACAGACAUAGACAUGUACCUCAACACAAUUUCUACUGGACUGCCACCUCUUAGCCGUCUGCUGCCUAUUUGCUGGCGCUACAGUUUUUCUAGCCAUCGAACAGCAGAAAACAAAGCCUUCUUCGUCUUCGCCGCGCCCGUCGUCACUUUGCCCGUCAUCCCGUCUUCGCUUCGGCCGUCGUCCCGUCUUCGCUUCGCCCGUCGUCCCCUUUGCAUCGCCCGUCGUC